GUGUGGCCACUAGCCUAUAUGAAGGCCCAAAAUUGUGUGUUCCUUUCUGCUCUGACAAUGGCAUGCCCAUUCGUGCGAGAUGUGGUGGAUGAAGAAGCACUUGUGCUGAGGAGAGCCUUCAGGCGAGAAAGGGUCUUCAGGGACCGGUUGGACCCACUGGCCUUCCCUGAUGACCAUCUAUAUGAAAGAUACAGGUUUUCUGCAGAUGGCAUCAGGUAUCUAUGCAGACUACUGGGUCCCAGGAUUAAGCACCGCACUGCACGGAGCCAUGCACUGAGUGUGGAGCAAAUGGUUUGUGUGGCCUUGCGCUUUUUGCUAGUGGAGCCUUCCUGUACUCAGUGGGGGAUGCAGAACAGCUGAACAAGGCCACAAUUUGCCGCACAAUAAGGAGUGUGUGUCUGGCUAUCAAAGCAUUAGCAGAUGUCUUCAUCUCCUUCCCUGGCCACAGAAGACUCUGUGACAUCAAAGAGGAGUUCUAUAGGAUUGCAGAUGGUCUGCAAUGCUGACUGUGUGAUCAGCAAUGUUGUGGCAAAAUGGCCUGGCUCAGUCCAUGACUCCAGAAUCUUUCGGGCCUCUGAAAUCUAUCAGUGCCUAUCACAAGGUGAAUUCUCUGGUGUGUUGCUGGGAGACAGGGGUAUGGCUGCCAGCCUUUUCUCCUGACACCUUUCACAGACCCCCAGGAAGCACAGCAGGCCUACAACCAUGCCCAUGCCAGGACCAGGGCCAGAGUUGAAAUGACCUUUGGCCUCCUGAAGGCACGCUUUCACUGCCUUCACAAAUUAAGGGUCAGCCCUGUUAGGGCAUGUGAUAUUACUGUGGCUUGUGCUGUCCUCCACAAUGUGGCCUGCCUGAGGAAGGAGAGGGCCCCCAGAGUGCCACCAGCCAUGGACUGGGACAAUCCGGCAAUCUUCCCUGAUGACGACAGUGGUCGGCUGCUGAGGGACCAAUAUGUGUUGAAUUAUUUUAGUUAGUAUGUGUGCUUUCAAUUUUGGUUAAAUAUGUCCUGCGGUGGCAGAGGAAUUUGGGUUUUUUUGGGUUCGUUUUUGACGAAUUUGGCCUCUUAUGAUGUUUGUGCGGUAUACUGUGUGUAAUACAAGGCUGCAGGGAGGCUACUGCAUCCAUUCAUUUGUCUGUUCAGUUGAUUUGUAUGGAUUUGUCCUGCAUUUAUUUUAGUGUGCAGACAUGCAGGGUGUGUUAUAUACAGACCUUUGAAUGUGUAUGUAUCAUUUUGUAUAAUAUGCUUGGAUUCUGUGCUUUCCAUCUUGUAGAGUCACUGUGACUUCAGUUUCGAAAGGAGCUGAUGGUUUACCUGCUUUGUUUUGUCCUUAUUCAAUAAAGGAACAUAAUGUUACACAUUGUGUUUUUAUAUUCA